rnacentral:pre_miRNA from 1 species
UUUGUGUUAUGAUAAUAAUUAUGUUAAUUUACGAGAUUAUAGUAACUUCUUACUAAGUGGUUCACUAUAACGUUACGGUAAAUAUCUCCAUGUGUUAUAGUAAUUCAACUAUCGUAAAUAUGUAUACAUAUUAUCAUAAAUUAAUAUAUAAAAUUAUCGUAAAUGGAA